rnacentral:snRNA from 1 species
GGGUGUGAGGACAAUCUGGCUGUGAUAUCUGUCACCUCACUGAUCGCCAAAGUUUGACUUGACUGAUCUGGCUAGCUGAGUAGGUGUCCCCACCCUCCCUCACUGGAUCCAUGUGCAUCUCUCCCAAGCUGUAUGCUCAGUCAGAGAGAACAACCUUCCCCCGCAAAAGGAGGGUUAUUCUUCUGUCCAGGGAACAAUGCUAGAACCUCCAAACAAGCCCCCCAACGCCUCACCAACAGAAGAAUACCAGUGGCCAGUGCCACGUGUUGUAC